ACACAAUAAACCAGAUUAGAAGAAAUAUACAAAAAGUGAUGGCAUAAGCGUAGAACCUCAGGACGAGAAACAUGUUGAACAGUAUCCGUUAUUCCCUCUUGUUCGUUUCUUUUGUCUUAAUAUCGGUAUUCUUUCCAACAGCCGAUGCACGUAUUGUCUGCUAUUGUGAUGCUCCAAGAGUACCGAGAUGUGAGAGAAGAUGCGGUCGACGUUAACAAUGAAUUUGUAUGAGAAAAUAACUUAAAAUGACGAAGAGGGUAAAGAUUAUUGUGUAUCUACAUAGAUUGUAAUUCCGGUGUCAUCGGCAG